AUGGUAGUUGUUUCUGAUGGUUUUUGCCUAAUGCAAUCAAUCCUUUGCGAUGGUUUUUGCAGCAUGGAUACGCAGGUGAAGCUCGCGGUGGUGGUCAAGGUGAUGGGCCGCACCGGGUCGAGGGGUCAGGUGACCCAGGUGAGAGUCAAGUUCCUGGAUGACCAGAACCGUCUCAUCAUGAGGAACGUCAAGGGCCCUGUUCGUGAGGGCGACAUCCUCACCCUGCUCGAGUCUGAGCGGGAGGCUAGGAGGCUGCGCUAA
rnacentral:rRNA from 1 species